CCCGCCUUAGCUCAACGGUAGAGCAUUCGGCUGUAGCCCGAAAGGUUGCAGGUUCAAAUCCUGCAGGCGGGA
rnacentral:tRNA from 1 species